GGGUUGUGAGGUUAAGCGACUAAGCGUACACGGUGGAUGCCCUGGCAGUCAGAGGCGAUGAAGGGCGUGCUAAUCUGCGAUAAGCGCCGGUAAGGUGAUAUGAACCGUUAUAACCGGCGAUACCCGAAUGGGGAAACCCAGUGUGAUUCGUCACACUAUCAUUAACUGAAUCCAUAGGUUAAUGAGGCGAACCGGGGGAACUGAAACAUCUAAGUACCCCGAGGAAAAGAAAUCAACCGAGAUUCCCCCAGUAGCGGCGAGCGAACGGGGAGGAGCCCAGAGCCUGAAUCAGCAUGUGUGUUAGUGGAAGCGUCUGGAAAGGCGCGCGAUACAGGGUGACAGCCCCGUACACAAAAGCGCAUGUGCUGUGAGCUCGAUGAGUAGGGCGGGACACGUGGUAUCCUGUCUGAAUAUGGGGGGACCAUCCUCCAAGGCUAAAUACUCCUGACUGACCGAUAGUGAACCAGUACCGUGAGGGAAAGGCGAAAAGAACCCCGGCGAGGGGAGUGAAAAAGAACCUGAAACCGUGUACGUACAAGCAGUGGGAGCACAGGUUUACCUGUGUGACUGCGUACCUUUUGUAUAAUGGGUCAGCGACUUAUAUUCUGUAGCAAGGUUAACCGAAUAGGGGAGCCGGAGGGAAACCGAGUCUUAAUUGGGCGUUAAGUUGCAGGGUAUAGACCCGAAACCCGGUGAUCUAGCCAUGGGCAGGUUGAAGGUUGGGUAACACUAACUGGAGGACCGAACCGACUAAUGUUGAAAAAUUAGCGGAUGACCUGUGGCUGGGGGUGAAAGGCCAAUCAAACCGGGAGAUAGCUGGUUCUCCCCGAAAGCUAUUUAGGUAGCGCCUCGUGAAUUCAUCUCCGGGGGUAGAGCACUGUUUCGGCUAGGGGGCCAUCCCGGCUUACCAACCCGAUGCAAACUGCGAAUACCGGAGAAUGUUAUCACGGGAGACACACGGCGGGUGCUAACGUCCGUCGUGAAGAGGGAAACAACCCAGACCGCCAGCUAAGGUCCCAAAGUCAUGGUUAAGUGGGAAACGAUGUGGGAAGGCCCAGACAGCCAGGAUGUUGGCUUAGAAGCAGCCAUCAUUUAAAGAAAGCGUAAUAGCUCACUGGUCGAGUCGGCCUGCGCGGAAGAUGUAACGGGGCUAAACCAUGCACCGAAGCUGCGGCAGCGAAAGAAAGCGUAAUAGCUCACUGGUCGAGUCGGCCUGCGCGGAAGAUGUAACGGGGCUAAACCAUGCACCGAAGCUGCGGCAGCGAACGUAUCACUUAAAGCGAUUCAGCGGGUUACGAUUGACGGAGCGAAGCGACGUCAAAGCGUAUACAAAGUCGAGUCGGUUUAAGGAUACGUUCGUUGGGUAGGGGAGCGUUCUGUAAGCCUGUGAAGGUGGCCUGUGAGGGUUGCUGGAGGUAUCAGAAGUGCGAAUGCUCAUUUAAAGAAAGCGUAAUAGCUCACUGGUCGAGUCGGCCUGCGCGGAAGAUGUAACGGGGCUAAACCAUGCACCGAAGCUGCGGCAGCGACGCUUAUGCGUUGUUGGGUAGGGGAGCGUUCUGUAAGCCUGUGAAGGUGGCCUGUGAGGGUUGCUGGAGGUAUCAGAAGUGCGAAUGCUGACAUAAGUAACGAUAAAGCGGGUGAAAAGCCCGCUCGCCGGAAGACCAAGGGUUCCUGUCCAACGUUAAUCGGGGCAGGGUGAGUCGACCCCUAAGGCGAGGCCGAAAGGCGUAGUCGAUGGGAAACGGGUUAAUAUUCCCGUACUUGGUGUUACUGCGAAGGGGGGACGGAGAAGGCUAUGUUGGCCGGGCGACGGUUGUCCCGGUUUAAGCGUGUAGGUGUGUGUUCCAGGUAAAUCCGGUUCACUUUAACACUGAGGCGUGAUGACGAGGCACUACGGUGCUGAAGUAACAAAUGCCCUGCUUCCAGGAAAAGCCUCUAAGCAUCAGGUAACAUCAAAUCGUACCCCAAACCGACACAGGUGGUCAGGUAGAGAAUACCAAGGCGCUUGAGAGAACUCGGGUGAAGGAACUAGGCAAAAUGGUGCCGUAACUUCGGGAGAAGGCACGCUGACACGUAGGUGAAGUGAUUUACUCACGGAGCUGAAGUCAGUCGAAGAUACCAGCUGGCUGCAACUGUUUAUUAAAAACACAGCACUGUGCAAACACGAAAGUGGACGUAUACGGUGUGACGCCUGCCCGGUGCCGGAAGGUUAAUUGAUGGGGUCAGCGCAAGCGAAGCUCCUGAUCGAAGCCCCGGUAAACGGCGGCCGUAACUAUAACGGUCCUAAGGUAGCGAAAUUCCUUGUCGGGUAAGUUCCGACCUGCACGAAUGGCGUAAUGAUGGCCAGGCUGUCUCCACCCGAGACUCAGUGAAAUUGAACUCGCUGUGAAGAUGCAGUGUACCCGCGGCAAGACGGAAAGACCCCGUGAACCUUUACUAUAGCUUGACACUGAACAUUGAGCCUUGAUGUGUAGGAUAGGUGGGAGGCUUUGAAGUGUGGACGCCAGUCUGCAUGGAGCCGACCUUGAAAUACCACCCUUUAAUGUUUGAUGUUCUAACGUGGACCCGUUACCCGGGUUGCGGACAGUGUCUGGUGGGUAGUUUGACUGGGGCGGUCUCCUCCUAAAGAGUAACGGAGGAGCACGAAGGUUGGCUAAUCCUGGUCGGACAUCAGGAGGUUAGUGCAAUGGCAUAAGCCAGCUUGACUGCGAGCGUGACGGCGCGAGCAGGUGCGAAAGCAGGUCAUAGUGAUCCGGUGGUUCUGAAUGGAAGGGCCAUCGCUCAACGGAUAAAAGGUACUCCGGGGAUAACAGGCUGAUACCGCCCAAGAGUUCAUAUCGACGGCGGUGUUUGGCACCUCGAUGUCGGCUCAUCACAUCCUGGGGCUGAAGUAGGUCCCAAGGGUAUGGCUGUUCGCCAUUUAAAGUGGUACGCGAGCUGGGUUUAGAACGUCGUGAGACAGUUCGGUCCCUAUCUGCCGUGGGCGCUGGAGAACUGAGGGGGGCUGCUCCUAGUACGAGAGGACCGGAGUGGACGCAUCACUGGUGUUCGGGUUGUCAUGCCAAUGGCACUGCCCGGUAGCUAAAUGCGGAAGAGAUAAGUGCUGAAAGCAUCUAAGCACGAAACUUGCCCCGAGAUGAGUUCUCCCUGAGACUUAAAGUCUCCUGAAGGAACGUUGAAGACGACGACGUUGAUAGGCCGGGUGUGUAAGCGCAGCGAUGCGUUGAGCUAACCGGUACUAAUGAACCGUGAGGCUUAACCCUACAACGCCGAAG
rnacentral:rRNA from 1 species